rnacentral:rRNA from 1 species
UAGGGAAUCUUCCGCAAUGGGCGAAAGCCUGACGGAGCAACGCCGCGUGAGUGAUGAAGGUCUUAGGAUCGUAAAACUCUGUUAUUAGGGAAGAACAAACGUGUAAGUAACUGUGCACGUCUUGACGGUACCUAAUCAGAAAGCCACGGCUAACUACGUGCCAGCAGCCGCGGUAAUACGUAGGUGGCAAGCGUUAUCCAGAAUUAUUGGGCGUAAAGCGCGCGUAGGCGGUUUUUUAAGUCUGAUGUGAAAGCCCACGGCUCAACCGUGGAGGGUCAUUGGAAACUGGAAAACUUGAGUGCAGAAGAGGAAAGUGGAAUUCCAUGUGUAGCGGUGAAAUGCGCAGAGAUAUGGAGGAACACCAGUGGCGAAGGCGACUUUCUGGUCUGUAACUGACGCUGAUGUGCGAAAGCGUGGGGAUCAAACA